rnacentral:rRNA from 1 species
CCUACGGGAGGCAGCAGUAGGGAAUUUUCGUCAAUGGGCGCAAGCCUGAACGAGCGAUGCCGCGUGAGUGAAGAAGGCCUUCGGGUCGUAAAGCUCUGUUGCGGGGGAAAAGAGGCAGCAUCAGGAAAUGGGUGCUGACUGAUGGUGCCCCGCCAGAAAGUCACGGCUAACUACGUGCCAGCAGCCGCGGUAAUACGUAGGUGGCGAGCGUUAUCCGGAAGGAUUGGGCGUAAAGGGUGCGCAGGCGGUCCUGCAAGUCUGGAGUGAAACGCAUGAGCUCAAUUCAUGCAUGGCUUUGGAAACUGGAGGACUGGAGAGCAGGAGAGGGCGGUGGAACUCCAUGUGUAGCGGUAAAAUGCGUAGAUAUAUGGAAGAACACCAGUGGCGAAGGCGGCCGCCUGGCCUGUUGCUGACGCUGAGGCACGAAAGCGUGGGGAGCAAAUAGGAUUAGAUACCCCUGUAGUC